rnacentral:sRNA from 1 species
AACUAGAAUCACAGCUUCCAACAGCAGAAACACCAAAAGAAGUUAAAUCGAAACAAAAGAUAAACACGCAAGCAAAGUUUUCGCUGAUCAAAACUUUAAUACCCCAGCAACGGGGAUUUAUGGUUUAUGUUUUGAAGAUUCUUUAUAAACUAAGAGAAAGUUGGCCAAAGUGGGUGAAAAAUAUUGUGUUAGAAAUUAGUACGUUCUUUUUUCAGACAACUCAAAAAGAAAAGGCUUCAUAUGAGUUCUGAGUUACCUGUCAUAUUAGGUUCUUGCAUUUGGAAGAUACUAGUUCUCAUGCUUGAUUUCAUGGUAUCGACACGUUCGAAAUUUUGUGGUGCAAGCAAAGCCGAGUGCAAAAAGUGGUAAAAGCCGGACCGAUGGCAGAAAUAAAAAGCAAACAACAAAAAUGUCGUACACACACACACAAAAAACCAAAAAAAAAAAAACGCUGAGGAGAAGGAGCGGAUAGCCUGGGAAUUAUUGGCUCAGGUGGAGGAGGGGCACAGGUAACUGAAGGGGGCUGGCAGUGGAAAAUGCACUAAAUAAAACAUGAAAUUGCGAAAAAUUCGACCAUGUGAGCGGCACAAGGAUGUCAGGUGCCAGCACACCCCAUCCCAACCCACCGAUUUCCCGCUCUCAAUCUUGCUAGCCAAGAAUUUGCAGCUAUAAAUUGUUGUCCCAAAAUAAACAGAAAAAAUAAAAACAAAAAAUAAGGGAGCCGGCAAGUGUAUGGAAGACUUCCUCCCGGGAAUAAUUGUGCACACAAUAAAUCAACUUGAGCAGCGGCAAAUGGCGAACAAAAGGAUUUUUUCAAUUUGCUAACGAAACAUCAGAGCAGAGCGCGCACAAAAUAAAUGAUAAUAGCCCGGCCAACUAUUGUUGGCCAAGUGUUUUUGCGACAGCGGAAGCCGCCGUAAGCCAAAAUGUCAAAAUACUAAAUAUUAAUCAUCAUUAUUUCAAUCAACAUUUAUUAACAUGGACUUUGCAUUAGCACAUAAUGUAUUUUUGACCUUUUGUCAUUCCAGAGGGUUAGAUCCCCCUUGCCCCACCAUCAACCCACACAAUGCACAGACCACAUUUUCAAUUUUGCCACAAGGGUCAGCAGUAAAAGGAGCCAACUUGGAGUCACAAAGGCCAGGGAUCCAUUCGUUUGUCUUUGCGGCCUGUCCAUGUGCGUGUGUGUGUGUGUGUGUAUCUGUGUGUGUGUUGCCCCCUUGGCACUUGUUUGUCAGCCCACUACCCCAACCCUUAAGCCAUGACCAUCCAACCCAAAAUGCCCCACACUCCACGCCAGCCAUUCCAGAGUCAUUUCAAACUCGAUUUCAGUCAUUUGUCUUUUGUCAUAUUAAUAAUUCCCUUUUAUUAUUGCCACCAUGAUAAUAAGCUGUCUGCUAUGACCGCCCCAUCAUCCCGAAACAUUUUCCAUUAUCCACCGACUUUUAUAAUUUCCCAUCGCAGCAGCAAAAAGGUGUGCGCGUUCACCUUUUUUGCUCCGCUCAUUAAUAAUAAUAUAAGGGAAAUGGCUGGGGGAUGCGUAUACCCUUGCCCAAUUGGGAGAUGUUCGAGUGCUGCAUUGUCCACUGGAACAAAACUCUGGGUACCCCCCACUACACUGAGAACAAAAAGGUUGUAAAGUUUAAUCCCAUGCUUUCUAAUCGUUAAGAAAAAUUAAUUUAAUCUUUCAUAAUUUCUUUUACCAAAGCUAAAUGUGCCAUCAUUAAUCAGCUUGUGUAAUUAAUGCGAAAUAACCUUUUUUUCGCGCAGUGCACGGCCCUUCACUUGCUCUCUUUAAGUCAUUAAUUUUCAUCUGUGUGCAUCCCUCUUUUUGCAGGCAAAUAAUCUUAAGUAUUUGCCCGCUGCGGUUCGCCUUGUAAUAGAUCAUUAAUAAGGAGUAAAAAAUUCCACAAAUGCGCUGGCAAAGUAAUAUUAAUGCAGUCAAGUGAGUUAUUUACUAAUUUGAUAGAUAACCGCAAAACUUCUGAACGAAAGAAGCGCUCACAACUUUUAACAUCACAUUUCAUUGUUCAGUUUCCCGUGCGGAUGUUUUUGGCUCUAAGUUGUGAAUUGUGAGUUUGGCACAAAGGUGUAGAACUUCAAGUUGUCAGCUUGUUAGGGCGAGUUUCUAAGCCUUUGCUUUUGGCUAAGACAAAAAGUGCUAGCUGGUGAAAAUCCAGACAAAAUGCAAAAGUUGAGAGUUCAGAGCAAAGAGUGUGUGAGUGUGUGCGUGUGCUUGUGAUUCGAUUAGCUUUGGGGUUAAAACAAGUUGGCUCCAUUCAAAUCAAAACCAAAAACCUCAAAAUAUCAAGUGCCAGACGAGAGAUGGAACCUAACUUGAUUUGCAAUUAUUAUUGUUUAACAAGAAGCAUAAGCCGACACUUAUCCCGACUCACAGCCACAUUCUCGCCCAAGCCGACUGCUUUGCUAUUGUUGAUACAAGAAGAAGCCCUCCUCCUUUCGAGUGUGGAGAAUUUUCAAAUAUCUGAAAGCCUUCAUCUGCAUCUUCAGAUACAGAUCCACACGCACACACAAUUGUUGCUCCACUCCUCGGAAGACUCGGUUGGGCAUGGGUGGUGUGUGGGGGGGUGGGUUCAUAAAUCCAAUGACAUAGCCAGACCAAUGUCAUCUUAUUUUAGGCAAAUGAUAAAUUGACAAAUUUAUUUGGGUCACAGCCAGGGCGCAUUCAUCAUCAUUUGCAGGAGGAUUUCCAACGGGCCACGGGGAAAUUGAAAAUUUCUCUCUGUCGUUCGUUUAUU